rnacentral:lncRNA from 1 species
GCUUGGACAGGAAAAGAAUUGCCUCUCCUGCCAAUAUUUUUAAGAGUUCAGUAUUAUUGUUUUGUUUUAUUUUGUUGUUGUUUUUGUUGUUGUUGUUGUUGUUGUUCUGUUUUGUUUUUAAUCUGCUUCCAGCUGGUAUGCUAUCAAAGUUUUUCUAAAUGUUAAGGGACAAAAGAGAAAAGACCAAGAAAACACUAUAAAGGCUGUUGAUUCCACAGCUCCGACUGCUCUUGGAUGCUGUGUCCUGUGCAUUUGCCCUGAGGAUGAUGUAUGCUGAGCUGAUUUAUGAACAACAUAAAUCUACUUUUCUUCAGUCCAUUGCACUUUCUCAGACUCUUCAGAUCCCUUGUAAAAGCUAAUCUCCAUUUCAAAAGCACAGGCAUAUAACAGGUGAGAGAAAUGACUACCUAUUUCCCAGAUGGAAAAUCAGUAGAGAAGGAGGAGACUUGACAACCUAGUACAUUCAAUUUUUGACUUUGUUAAUAAGAGGAGAGAAGCAUGUGACUAUCAUGAGGUAAAGGUGAGGAUUGGCUUUCUGAAGUAUGAUAAUGCACCACAGAGGCAAAGAAAAUGAUAAUGAACCACAGAGGCAAAGUAGCUUCCGCAAAGGUUGACUUCCAACUCUGUUUCUCUUGUUUACCAGGGCCAAAACAACUUUUUUUUUUUUUUUUUUCCCCUGAAAUUUUCUGCAGCAUUAGAGACAUCUAGUGGCUGAAGAGAGUAAAACAAGGACGCAUGUCGACAGGUCCUAAUCCAGGAGAAAUCACGGGUCAGUCACCGACUUCAACAGAGUUGAGGAAAGGAAAACAUUAUCUCUCCUGCUAUUGCCACUGUCCUCCCCUACCUCCCAAAAUAUUGGUCUGGAAAAAGAGAGUAGGUGUGGAUGAAUGAUGAUAAAAGAUACAUACAAAAGUGCCCAACUUCCUCUAAACGGAAAAGAGAUAGAUGAAGGACUUGACUCAGUAGUAAAGCCAGCAUUAGCCAUGUGCACUCUGUUAAGAUAUCGUGAAUGUGUUACCAAUUCUGACCAUAAAUCUACUGUCUACAUAAAAUAAUAAAGAACAACAUCCACUUGACUGUAAACUACCAAGAAAUGAAGUAGAAUUCUGUCUCUUUGUAUAUGACAAUUGCCUUAAUCUUUUUUCUUUAUUAUUUUUUCAAUUAAAUUAUAUGCAUUUGUCAGCAUAUUCAUAAACAAUGUCUUUAAUAAUUUUCUUAAAGUAAACAGCACAGAAUUAAUAGAUUUUUCAGGUUAAAAUGGUGUUAUUCAAAAGCAGUUAAUGUGUAUGAUUUAUCCAUCACCUCUGUGUGAAGUCUUUGAAAAGGUUCUUUUGUUCUAAAGUUAGGGGGUGGAAUAAGAACAACCACAAUAAUGCAAUAAUGCGUAGCAGUGAGAUUAAAGGAGGAGACACUCAAAUGGCAUUCAUCUCAGACGUACUCUGCUAAGACGAACAAAAGGGCUUCAUCAUUUUUAUUUUCUGAAUUGUGUUGUCAAAGGGCUAAGCCUAGAACAAAACUUCAGGCCAGGAUUAGUUUUACCAAACUUUAAGAAACAAAUAUAAGUUAGAUGUCUAGGACAGAUUUUUCAUACCUUAAAUAGUUGUCCAGUCCAAGUUAAUCCUAGAUAUCCUCUUUAUAAAAAGUGAGAAGAAACAGAUUUCUAGAAGACUUUUUUUUUUUUUUUUUGACCAAAAUUGAAUGAUUAAGACUAGAAAAGCAGACCUCUGGUUUGUCCCUUUCUUUCUGACUUCUACACAGACCACAUGUCUAUUUUAAAGUUAAUGUCUAACAUUCAGAUGAGCAAAAUUAAAACAAUCACCACUGAGGAGAAGUACAGUUCUGUGUUGUGGGAAUCUUUUCCCUACCCCAGAAAUAUUUGUGUGUGUAGCUGCAAUCAUAUAUGAAUGGUAACUAGCUCCUCCUUAAAUAUUUCCAAGUCAAAACAAACUUUCAAAUAAUAUCAAACUCACAAUGUGAUUUUAUUAUCUGCACUAUUAGUUUGCAAGUUUAAUCAUUUGAACUUAUUGAUUCAUUCUUGGUUGUGACCUCCAUUUGAUCAUUGCUUUGUGCCGCUUUUGAUUAGCUUAGUGAACCUGCAAUACAUUUGGCUCAGCAACAUGUGUAAGUGCAUUUUUGUUCAUUCAUACUGCUUUACAAAAUCUUUCAAAAUAUGCACAAUAAGCUUAUCCUUUUUAAGUACCAUAUGGAUCACAAAUACUGAAGGAAUGCAUUUCCUUGUUUAAGAAAUCUACAAGCCACUUUACCAGGAUCAUAAGUUAAUGAUUUUUUUUUUUCCUUUUCCCACAAAACUAGCACUGUAUGGAUUAUAGUUUAUAUGUGCCAACAAACAGCAUUGGGUUUUGGUCAUUUCCAUGUGGAAACCUUUGGGGAGAUGAUCAGCUGAGGAAAGGAUAAGGAGAAGAACUGGUCAAAACGAAAACAAAAAAAUACCCUUCCCCUUCCCUUUCCUUGCCCUUGCCCUUCCCUUCUGCCCUCCCCCCCCACUUUCCAUCCCCAAAUAAAAAAGUCACACACACACA